CGCGUGCGCAGCGGGAAGUCAGGGGCCGCGGGCCGGAAGGGCGGGGAGGUGUGGGCCGGGAGAGCUGACCCAACGCCCCUGGCGGAGGGAGUGAUUUCCAACUCUGGUCUUUUCCAUCUCCAUCCCCUGAUCCCUUGCUGGAAUGCCGGAAUAUGAAAUUGAAGCUAUUACUGACAGUGUGUGUACCAUGGCCUUCAGGGGUACGUGGUUGUGGAGCACAGCCAUGGGUGAUCGCGGUAUCUGUGAAGGCCGGCUCAGAUGCCCUUCAGAUAGAUACCAAGCUCCAUGUGUGCCGAAAGUCCCUGGGCAAAACUGCAAAACUGGUGCUGGGAUCCGGCUGCGUGGGGAAAGGCGUGUGCCGCAGAAGCGUGAGGACCUGAGACUGAACCCCUAGAACCCACGUGAAAGCCUUGUUCCUGUGGAGACGGGAACCCCUGGAAGCUCGAGGAGGUCGACAAGAAAAGGUCUGACGGUGGACAGAUUUCAAAUCAACUACAGACUGCUCCAGUAACUCCAGCGCCAGCCUCAGCUGUCCUCUUGGAAUCUACAUCCUGGUCCAGCCUCACAGAUGACACCUCCCUAGCCUCAGAUGGUCCCGCAGAACCUGGACAUCAACGGACACAGCAUGUUCUUCCUGGCCUUGAUCAACAACUCAGCCUCCUUGGGUCCCCUUAACAACAACAGUCCAGUGCCAGCAGGAAGCAGCCAGAGAGAAUUGACACCCACUUACCCAACACCCAGACCCCCAAUAAUAAAACAAAAAGGUACCUACCGAGGCCAGAAGAAGGUGUCAGAUCCUCCGGAGCUGGAGUUAUAAUUGGUUGUGAGCCACCCCAACAUGGAUGCUGGGAAAGGAAGUCAAGCCAUCUUCAAAAGCAGUUGUGCCCUUAACCACCGAGCCAGCUGCCAGAGCUCUUUAAAGUAGAGAGGUGGUCCCUACGUGACCAGCUCCCUGGACUGCAGCAUAGUGAGGUACACCGAAUGCAGAACCAGGCUGCGUGAGUUCAAAUCCUAACCCUGCCAUUUACUGUAAGAGCGGAGGAAGCUAUUUGACGGCUCCAAGCCUCAGUUUCCCCAAUGUAAGAGGAGAGUGAUGAUAACAAUAGCACUCACUUAUGAAGCUGUUUGGAAGAUAAAUUCUUGUCAGACAGAUGUUACUGGUCCUGGGUGAAUAUCUGCUCAUAUUUGAUAUGAUCAUCAUCUCUGAUCAUCAAUACUGUUGAGGGAGACUGGAGUCUCAGUUUCUGCAGUGACCACUUCCUGUUCCCAUGUUGUAUUUUCACUUUUGUUUUAUUUAUACUAAAUUAUUGUUGUUGUUGUUGUUGUUAUUGUUGUUGCUGAGGAUGAACCCAGAGUCUUGUGCAUUCUAGCCAAGUCUUGGCCACUGAGCCGCACCCCAAACCCUCGCCUAUGAUAUUUCUGCUCUCUGUUAUCCAAGAGACAUAAAAAUAAGGUGUUUCUCUCUAAGUUGGUAAAGUUAGAAAGAAGAGAUUCCUUCAGCGUAGACUUUAUCCAUAAGCCAUGUCCAAGCAAGAAUGUCUUUGAAAAACCUAAAGCCAACAGCUCCCUUUGUGAGCAGGAGCCGAUCCACGGUGGGCUGCAGCUCCGCUAAUGAUGGGAAGUGUGGUUUCCCUGAAUGGGGUUCAGGGGAGCUAAGACACGGGCUUUUUCAGUCUUGAAAGGCUGAGCUGGGCGGAAAGGAGUCUUGAUGUAGCUUGUGAAGCCGAGUCCUGCUGUCUUCCCUGUUCCCUCCUCUCCCACAGGCCGGCUUGACAAGGCAAGUCUGUGUUCCUCUAUCCUAGAGCUAGAGCUUUGUGGAGACUGCAGGGUGACUCAGGGCGAGGUCCUCCUCCGGCCCCCAGGAUGAGCCAGCAUAGUGUGUCUGGUGGGAGCAGGGGCUGGGACUGAGGGCCCUACACUCUAGAGGGUUCUACCUUUUAUAUAACUCCUUUAUUCAUCCACUCUAAAGCCCCCUACCCCCAAAUGUAAGAUUCGAGCUGAAAUGUCAGAAAUACAAUCUGAUGGUUCCUUUCCAAGGCGGCCCCAACCUGCUACAAUUGGAUAGAAAACACCAGACCCCUGCGAAUGCUUGCUAGUCCAGCUAUUCCUCUACUUAGACUCUGUUAAGCCAGACCCCCCACCCCGACUCCACCCAACCUGGAAGCGUGGAGUGGAAAACUACCAACACCCAGGCUCGCCUACCAGGUCACGUUCCCGACAAGCUUGAAAACGAACAGGCGGCGAGAUGCGGAGAUGAACCCACUCACAAUUGCUGCUGAGAAAAAGAAACUGUGACAAGUUAGGACCUGAAUGACACAAAAGAUUGUCCCUCCUGAUUCCUCAGUUAUGGGAGGAGGGAAGAAGGGGUGCAGUGCUCAGCAGUGCACCUGCCGCUCUGUAGGGACGACACCCUGCAAAGCCAGGCUAAACUGCCUGCUCUGUCUACACUCCGUCUCCGGUGCUCUUACUACGAGGGGAGGAUCAAUGCUUCUCAGAUGGAAGGAGUCAGGAAAGGAUGCUUUGGUUUCAAGAGGGAACUGGUUUAUUUAUUUACUUACUUUGAGACUGUGAUUAGAGUCUCACGUAACUCAAGCUUGCCUUCAAUCUCCGUAUGUAGCUGAGGAUGAUAGCCUUGAACUUCUGACCUUCCAGCCUCCUUCUUCCUGAGUGCUGGGAUUACAGGUACGUGCCAACCACCACAUCUGGUUUAUACAUUGCUGGGGUUUGUGCAUGGUAGGUAGGCAUCCUACCAACUGAACCUCGAGAGGAAAAUGCCUUAGGAAACCAGAGGGAGAUGGGGGUGGCAGGUGGGGCGGUGUGCAUCUGCUUCGGACAACUUGUGUACUAAAUGCUGUUUUAUGUAAACAGAGCUGUAUGAUAUUUCUGACUCCUUUAAUCAAGCUUAUUUUGUAAGUACUUAUAAUGAGUCAUCAAGUAUCUUACAUUCUGGAGGUUAUCUGUGAUCAGUAAUUAAGGUGGAUAUUUUGGAAGUACUCAAAAUCAGUUCAGUAGAUUACCCCAUUUCUUUUCCAUCUGGAGCCUGGCUGACACAUCCAUCAGCUUGCCAAGGAUCAGCUUCAAGCUCAAGUAUUUAUUGCACAUCUGAUUUUAUUAAGGAAGCAAGGGAUGGGGAGCAGUGGGAACGCAAAAUCAGGAAUACCGCCUUGUUUUCCUCUCCUUUGGUGUGAGUUUCUGGCUGCUUAUUUUGCAAGUGAUAGAGAGUUAUGGAUGUCAAAUGUAGGCCUGGGAUGAUUUAUGAUAGUUGGCUAUUUGGGGACUAUAGAAAUCACUGGGGGGGGGGAGAUGGUAUUUAUGCAGCAUAUACAAAUCCUUGGGUUUGAUCCCCAGUACUAAGGUGGGAGGCUAGAGAGGAGGAAAGAAGGAAAAGAGAAAAUAGAGGCGGGAGAAGGAAGGAAGGAAAGAAAAAAAAAGAAGUAUGACUGUAAAUAAUGGUGCACCUUUAAUCCCAGCACUUGGGAGGCAGAGAAAGACAGAGCUGUGUGAGUUCGAGGCCAGCCUGGUCUACACAGAGAGUCUCAGGCCAGCCAGGGCUACAUAGUGAGAUGCCGUCUCAAGAAAACAAAGAGAGGAGGCUGGAGAGUGGCCUGGCACCUCCUUCCCAGGGGUGGAAGGAGAAGAGAGAGGAGGAAAGAGCAGAGAGCUGACACAAGGUUAGUACAGAGCCAGGGAAGAGAACCUGCAGGCCUUGGCUGCCACAAGAGUUCCAGAGCCUUCAAGGUCAAGUAUCCCAGGGUCCAGGGCAAGGGCUGUAACACUGGCUGCUUCUAUUCCAAUAUCUGAGGCUACAAAGGGCUGUUAUAUUAGAGAGUGCUUCCAGAGGCCAAAAAAGGGUGCCAGAUCCCCUAGAGCUGGAAUUCCAGGCAGGUAUGAGCUGCCUGAUGUGGGUCCUGGGAAUGAAACACACUGGUCCUCCAAGAUAAGCAAGCACUCUUAACAGACUCAACUAUGUGCCAUCUUGACUACGAAGACACAGAGCAGGAGUAAUUCUUCCAAUCAACUUCAGAACAGUAUGCCCUAAGCCCUGAGCUACCCACUUGGGGAUGCUGUGUGAAGCAGGAAAUGCUCGUCUUGUACAAGCCGCUCAUUUUGGCUCCUUUCACACACAGACAAAUUUAUUCAUAACACAGAGCUCCUAAUGACAGCAACAGACUCUCAAGUGGCGUCUAGGUAGGAAUCUGGGGUAGAGACAUAAUUCCAGUGUAUCCUUUGUAGAUGAAAAUACAGGCCGAGAACUCGCCAGAGAUUAUUUCACAGUGACGAUCCCAAGAACAAAGCAACGCAGAGCUGGAGAGGUGGCUCAGGGGGUUAAGAGUGCUUAUUGCAGCUGGGCGGUGGUGGCAGAGGCUGGCGGAUCUCUGUGAGUUCGAGGCCAGCCUGGUCUACAGAUGAGUUUCAGGACAGCCAGGACUACACAGAGAAACUGUCUCAAAAAACAAACAAACAAACAAAGAGUGCUCAUUGCUCUUCCACUGGACCCAAGUUCACCUCCCAGCACCCACCCUGGAAGGCUCCAAAGUGCCUGUAAUCUCUGCUCCAGGGGAUCCAGUGCCCUUUUUUCGCCUCAGAGGACACUUUAUACAUGUGGCGCACACACACAUAAAAGUGAAUACAAAUUUACAAGAGUGAAGCAAUGGCCCGUUACCAACAAGUCUUAAUGAAUGGCCGUCAGCAGUCAAUGAGGGACAGUGUCGGUCCCACACACCUCAAUCUCUACAGUGUCUUGGAGACACUAACCAGGCAAACCAUGAGGAAGCAUGACCCGGCUGCUGCUGGCCUUGGUUCUGGACUAGUUUCCUCUAUGAACAAUGAUGCUGUCAGCUGGGCAUGGACACAUGACUGUAAUCUCAGCAUUUGGGAUGCUGAGACAGGAGGAUCAAGAGUUCAAAGCCAUCCUCAGCUAGUUAGUGGGUUUGAGGCCAGGCUGGGUUACGAAAGACCCUGUCUCAGCCAAAACUGAGCGAUGAAAGUAUUAAGCCAGCUCUUUCCACCCAUUACUAGCCAGGCCUGGCCCUGCUCAGCGUCUCCGAUCAGAUGGGAUCGAGUGAGUUCUUGUGGUAGGGCUGCAGGCUCACCCUGGCUCUCCCGAGCCUUUCCUCCAGCAGGAAGUCCUAGUUCAUUCUCUUACCUCCUUUCUGACGUAUGCUCCUUCGGACAUGAGAAAUAAUCCACGUAAGGGCGUUGUCACGGUGCUGGCAUGUGACCACGUGAGACCAGGAGCUAGGCCAGACACCAGCUGAGGAUACUCACUUUGCAGCCUCUUGCCCAGAGUAGGGGCUCAGCCUCUGCUGAUGUCCUCUGGGAAUGCUGCUUGUCCUAUACGAGGCUCAGGCCCAUUUCUCUGUAAAGACUGUGUGUGUGUGUGUGUGUGUGUGUGUGUGUGUGUGUGUGUGUGUGUGUGUGUGUGUGUGGACAUGAGGACAGUGCCUGCAGAAGACAGUGGCAGGUCCCCGGGGGCUGGAGCUACAGGCAGCUGUGACUCACCUGAGGUGGGUGUUGGGAA